GGGGUUAUAGCCUUGUGGUUAGAGCAUCAGACUCACAAAUUGAAGUCAGGGGUUAAAUUCCCAAUCCCA
rfam:Macrostomum lignano uti_cns_0000259, whole genome shotgun sequence.